GACGAACGCUGGCGGCGUGCUUAACACAUGCAAGUCGAACGCUGAAGCUCAGCUUUUGUUGGGUUGAUGAGUGGCGAACGGGUGAGUAACACGGGAGUAACCUGGCUCGUUCUUUGGGAUAACGCCCGGAAACGGGCGCUAAUACAGGAUAUUCACUGGUCUUCGCGUGGGGGUUGGUGGAAAGGGUCUUUCUGGUGGGGGAUGGUCUCGCGGCCUAUCAGCUUGUUGGUGGGGUGAUGGCCUAACAAGGCGUUGACGGGUAGCCGGGAUGAGAGGGUGAACUGUAACAGUGGGACGGACAUACGGCCCAGACUACGACGGGGGGCAGCAGUGGGGACUAUGGGAGAAUGGGCGAAAGAGUGAUGCAGCGACGGCGCGGGAGGGAUGGGGGCUUUCGGGUUGUGAAACUUUUUCGCUAAUGGUCAAGCCGAAACAAUGGUUGUGGUGAGGUUAGUGGGUAAAGAAGCGCCGGCUAACUACGUG
rnacentral:rRNA from 1 species